CACGGGGGGAGCAAGCGUUGUUCGGAAUCACUGGGCGUAAAGGGUGUCUAGGCGGUCAGGUAAGUGAGAUGUGAAAUGCCCCGGCUUACCCGGGGGCCGGCAUCUCAUACUGUCUGGCUUGAGUAUGGGAGAGGAUGAGGGAAUUCCUGGUGUAGCGGUGGAAAUGCGUAGAUAUCAGGAGGAACACCGGUGGCGAAAGCGCUCAUCUGGCC
rnacentral:rRNA from 1 species